AUGUGCUGGAAUACUGUCUCCUACCGGAAUGAGUGUGAUGCAUUUUGUAUGGGGAAUGUUGAUGUUCCGCAAGUUAUUGAUUAUAUGUGGGUUGUUCUUUUGUAUCAGCAGCACCUCUUAUUUCCGCCUCUGAAUGACAGGUCUUCAAAAUAUGUGCUAUCAGUUCCAUUGAUUCAGAAUUCACAUACCAGAGGCGUUUGCUGGGAUUAUCAAACUACUCUCUGCCUGGCUCUUCAGCCCUGCCUUACUCCCAUGUUGAGUGAGCAGUUUUUGUUGGUGCCCAUCGAUUCCACUGGCAGACCCUUGGUCAGGUGGGGGGCAAGGGUGGGGCAUCUGGAAAGGGGAAGAUGGUGAGGCUAACUUUUUGCCUUCAUGUUCUUACCUUUUAAAAUAAAUAAUUUGGUUUGCACAGGAAGGUACAAAUUAUUAUUCAAAUAAAACAAGUGGAGGGGGGGAAUAGUUUCUUUAAGAGAGCCACAAGAUUUCUCCUUGCUAUAAAAGCCAGAUCCGUGUGCAGGGAGAGAGCGAGGUGGAUCUUGUGAGUGAGAGAGAGAGACUUGCAGGCAACCCAGUGAGAGGUGCUCAGACAAAAGCGCACACUCACACUCUUGGAUGACAUGGUUUUUAAUAAAAAUUACGACAGAAUAAUAAAUGUACAGUUCAAAUCAACAUGCUAAAAUAUCUAAUGCCAUUCAGACAGCAGCCCCAUGCAGCCCCCGUUUCCCCCCUUCUUAAGAUCAGUAGCUGUUCUAGCCCUCUCCGACAGAAAUCCCUUUAAAGUUAAAACUUAAAAUGUACUAAACAUUUCACCCUUUUUGUGCAAUGACUUGUGCAAAAAAAGCUGUUUUCACCACAUUAGUUUACAAAAUACUCCCCUCAAAAUAAAAAACAGAAGACACCCAGAAAUAAAAAAGCACACAGAUAAAUGAGCAAUUAAUAAACGUACUACCGAGAAGCUCAUGUGUCGGGUGCGGUUGUGGUAGUUUUGGGGCCACGAACAAGUGGUCUUCUGACUGCUUCUAAGAUGUGCUAUGUGGCUGAGACCCAACGCCUGGUGCAAGCCACUUCUCAAAGGAUUUCCAGGUUUGUGGUGAUUUAUGCCGUCGCUGUUGCAGUGCUCAGAAGACGGCUGCACCAAAAAUGGGCCAUGAGAGCUGGCUCUUGCGAUGGUCUGUGUGCCAAGCCAAAAGGACGGGCACUACUUGCCUCCAGAGGCCCCAGGAGAGGCCAAACCAUUCGCCUACUCUUGACCGCCUGCCCUGGACAGCCAGACUCUCAGGCGGUGGCACUAAAGCAUUUGCUUUGAGACCCACCAGCCGGCUUCCUUACAACCACCCCGGAACGAUCACAUUUGCAAGCCCUUAAUGGAAACGGUUUCUGCAGGAACAAAGAGCCCGGCUUUAAAAAAAUAGUAACAAUUUAAAAAAGACCUACGUACAAAAGGAAUAUUUAAAAACAAAAAACACAAACGGCAACAAUACAAUGGAGAGGGGGUUUUCUUUUUUCCCUUGUGAGUUUGAAAAGUGGGGUCAGAUUUAACCCAAGUGCAAAACCAGCAAAGAACUUUUGCUUUGAUCUCCAGCAAAGUGUCGUCAGGAAGGAUGUGGGCAGGAGAGGUCCCUGUGAAGGAGGCGGCUGGGGAGGAAAGCCCCCCCCCCACUCUAGAGCAGCUACAAGCCCCUGCAGGCGGGCCAGGGUGCUUGUGUACCCAAGAGCAUCUUGCCAGUCCUGCCGCUCUCAAGUCUUAAAGGGAAGAGGAAGGAGCAGCCAGGACUAAGCCCGCUUUGCCACCCUGAGGGGCUGCAUGGCAGACCCCAAGAGAGCUGCCCCAGGACCCCGCCUGCAAUUCUGCAGGGAAUGCCUGGGCACCACCCCCUAGCGCCCCCCCCGGCAGGUUUCUACUCAGAUUGCCUGGGUGGCCAAAGGCUGGUGGCUGUUCUUCACACACACACACCCCCCAAUUAUUCUCCUAUUAAUAAUGAUACUUCUCACCCGCCCCGUCUCUCCGUAUCAAACAAUGAACUGCGGAGGAGGCAAUUCAUUCACGGGGAUUUCUUUUUUAAAAAACCAGAAAACGUUCUCCCGCUUUGCUUCUCUAAAGGAAGCCGACUCACUCUCGCUCACUCGCUCGCUCUGCCGCAAUGAUUAAUUCCCUUUUGAAGGGGUGGGACUGUAUGGCCUGGAAGAAAACGCUAAUUGGGAGCAGAGCACCAAAAUUCCGUUUCUCAUCCCCGUUAUGCGACGGGCGGUUUGGAGUUGGACCCUACUGAAACCGGACACUCGGAACAAAUAUCUCCUUUAGCUCCAGAGGGGCUUCCCCCCUUCUCACACCAACCAGCCUUUUCUCCAGAUCAGGGCCAGGAGGGUUCAGUUUGGGCUGCUCUGCGGAUAAGUCGGUCCCACCCAGAUCCGGCAACCCUCUUUCCAUUGAGCGCCGUGGAGGCUGGAAGGAGGGCCUGGUCGGAGGCUGCGGGAUGUUCGUGGCCGGCUGGGGUCUCCAGCUUAGUCUCCCUUCUGGCUUUUGCUCAGGAAAGCAAAAGGAAUGGGUUGGCUCCUGGCGCAAACCGAGGCCUCGCCUGGAAGCAGCCAGCUUGGGAACAGGGAAGCCUUCAAAGUCCAGGCCUGCCUGCUGUCCGGCUUUCCCCUUUUUCAGUGCUGUAACUACUCCCAGGACAGGAACCCCAACCACCACCACCCAGUGACCUGGUGUCAGUUUCGCAGAGAACUGCUUCACCCCCCUCGCUCCUCCUGUCGCGGCUUCAUC
rnacentral:lncRNA from 1 species